UUAUCGUUGCACGGACAAGAGAAAACGCAGGAAAUCGGUCGUUGCGGUUUUAUUCUCAUCGUCCUCGAUCGACAAAUCCAAAUUUUACCGAAAGCCGGUGUUUAAGAUAAUAAGGACAAUUUUUUUUAAGAGAGUGUAAUUAGCGGUAACGGGAGUGGGAAACGUUAAUUAGCCUCGGUAGAGGUGCAAACCGUUAUUAACGAAUACUCUUAUGUAGAAUACACAUACAAAUGAAUGCGGUUCAUACGUGUGCGCGCGUCGAUGAAUUAUCGUACCUGUAAUUACGUAGUUGAAACCCAUGGUUUGUGUGUGUACAAUCGUGCUAUCGAGCGAUAUUCUAAAAGCGGUAAAACGGGUUAAAUUCCUCGCAGGCUUCGAGAAAUAAUUUAAUUACACCCGACUAACGAUAAUUGCCGGAACGAUAAUUCGAUGUUAACCCGCACCGAACUGAGCGUACAUUUCCUGCGCGGCACUGUUGCUUUCUUAUUUCACGCAUACGCGACUUGUCGGCCGAUGUUGCCGAGUUUCAAUUACCGACAAAUAAAAAGUUGCUACUUGACUUAUAAAUCAUCGCUACGUUAUUAUGAUUAUCUUCUAAUUUAUGAAACUGUUCAGUUUUCUCUUCCAAUUUCUAUUCAUUGAUCGAUGUCUUAAACGACUAUAUUUUUCGUUCGUCACUUUUCGUUCUUUCAUCGGAUAGAGCAUCUCAAAUGGUAAACGGGAACACCGAAAGGAGAUCCACGCACUGAUCCCUGCUGUUUCUCUCUCCUAGCUCGUUCUUCUUAUUCUUCGUAAUAAUAAUUACCAACACAUCGAUGCCGCACACCGAAGUAUGAACACAGCAGCAAAGGAACAGCUAUCUAAAAGCCUUGUUCAAUCAGCAAACGGAAAAAGAAGUUUUGGGAAUUGUGGCGCGUAUAAAGCAUCGAGGCGCUAACCGAUGCUCGGCGCAGGUACUCUCGUACGUCUUCGGGGACGGUGAGGAUCAGGGUCGUUAACACUGGUUCGCGGCGGGUACAUCGACGUCCGACGGGGGUCGGCACCUUCUUUUUUCGAUUCUACAUACGUACCGACGGAUAUACACAUUGAUUGCAUUUUUGCGUCCGUGCCGGGUAAUAAUGCUAAUUUGCUCUACAUUCAAUGUUUCUCGGGCGAUGGAUGUUGGUGGGGUGGACCGUCGAAAACUUUCUGAAAACCUUUAUAAUGGUUCCGAUAAAAAGCACCCCUGCGGGACACAUAUGCUACAGUGGUUUUUCUUUCAAACCACAAGUCCGUUCAAUCUCCUAUUUGAUUCUAACGACAGGUAAUCGAUAACUACGAUUGGCGCUUAUCAUUCGAUUGCUACAAAUCCUGUAAUAAAUAUUAUUUAUUUUUCGCAAUUUUUUGGUGACAACAAUGACUAAAAGAUAUUUAAUAUUUAAUUAUUAUAAAGAAUAAUUAUUUUGUCUAUGUAGAUAAUGUAAAAUAAUUUCACAUAAUAAAUAAAUAUUAAGAUACAAGAAAGAAAA